rnacentral:lncRNA from 1 species
CGGUGAGGUGGCAUGAUCUGGAAGUAGGUGCAUCAAACCGUCUGAUCAAUGAUCGAUUCUGAUGUAGCCACAUGUCGACAUCUGAGGAAAUCCUGAUUUAAAUGACUUUAUUCGGACCGUUGAGGAGUCCUAUACGUAUAAAGCUACUUUUAUUUGGACUUUCUAUUUUUGCAUUCGUCAUUCUCCUCUACAACAGAAGGUUUUGCCCUAGUGUUGAGAGCUUUUGAAGUUU